rnacentral:tRNA from 1 species
GGCUGCGUAGCUCAACUGAAUAGAGCAUCUGACUACGGAUCAGAAGGUUAGGAGUUUGAAUCUCUUCGCGGUCA